rnacentral:rRNA from 1 species
CCUACGGGCGGCAGCAGUGAGGAAUAUUGGUCAAUGGGCGAGAGCCUGAACCAGCCAAGUCGCGUGAGGGAGUACUGCCCUAUGGGUUGUAAACCUCUUUUGUCGGGGAGCAAAAGCCGGACGUGUCCGGCUGUGAGAGUACCCGAAGAAAAAGCAUCGGCUAACUCCGUGCCAGCAGCCGCGGUAAUACGGAGGAUGCGAGCGUUAUCCGGAUUUAUUGGGGUUAAAGGGUGCGCAGGCGGAGUUUUAAGUCAGCGGUCAAAUCGUGGGGCUCAACCCCAUCCAGCCGUUGAAACUGGGGAUCUAGAGUGUGCGAGAGGUAUGCGGAAUGCGUGGUGUAGCGGUGAAAUGCAUAGAUAUCACGCAGAACCCCGAUUGCGAAGGCAGCAUACCGGUGCACAACUGACGCUCAGGCACGAAAGCGUGGGUAUCGAACAGGAUUAGAUACCCCUGUAGUC